ensembl:lncRNA
CUGCACCUCGGGCUCACCAGGAGAUGGAGCCCGAGAGCCUCCCGGCAGCUCCCGGAGCUGUAAGGGCAGCGCCUGCCCCGCCGCCGGAGCGAGGCCCGAGCUCUGAGCUGCGGCACGGCGCUACCUGCAGCCCGAGGCUCGGCGUGUCUCGUAGCGACACAAGCGCUGCCCACAGAGCGCGUUUGGGAACGCGGGAUUGUUCUCUUCAGUAACACACAGUGAUGAAGCGGAUAGAAAUGAAGGAGAGCGCUUCUGGUUCUGAGAGGGAGGCAGAAGGUAAAAAACGAGCCGACACCAACGGCUGACGCGGGAAACUGCAUUACGUCUCGUCUCACCACAGCGUUUUGUUCACACACACAAAAGACCCUCCCCCUCGUUUUUUCUCAGUGGUCACAAAGCCGGGGAAAACAAACAAAAAAAAAAAAAAAAACAGAGCAGAACAAAACAAAACCAGCACGAACAAUCGAACAGAAAUCAGGGAAAGGAGGGGCGUUUCUUGUAUUUUGGGGGCUCAGCCUGCAACCAAAACUCUCCUCCCAAAAUGCCUCUAAAAAUCUUCCCGUUGCGGUGAAGAAAGGACAGAGGAGGCAGUCAGAACCAACUCUUCAGCAGAGAACCACGCACGGAUGAGAGCACUUCCGUACGCUGCCCUGCUGGGGUUGCCUGGGAGCAGGGAGCCUGGAGGAUGGCAGGGAGGAGAUGGAGGAGAUAGAACAGAGCAGGAGAUGAGGUGGGACGAUAAAGGUGCUGGGAGGAAAUGGAUCCUGCAAAGCUGUUGAUCCCCAGGCUGGAGGCUACCCUGGGGACUAAUGGACUGGAAUUUGCAGGGACAUGUAGGAGACAGCUCUGAGAAGAGUGCCCACAGCAGCCCAAGCGCUGGACUCAGGUGGUUGUGUCCUCACAUUCCCAGGUCCCACAAAUGCUUCCUCUGUGUCAUCUGGAGAAGGAGCAGCUUUACAGGGCCAGGUGGGAAUUACUGAGGGCUCCUCACUCAUGAGAAAGUUUGAAUUCAG